UGGUAUCGAUUGCAGUCCGUGCCGUUUAUCGAUUCAAAUUGUACGGCGGUUAUAUUUGCGAACGGGGUGGUCGUUUCCUUUGAGCAGCAUCACGCAGGUUCAUUUUAAUUAGAUAUCAAUAAUACCUCAGCCAGUUUAUGCGUCCAACAUUCGAUAGCUGCCACCAAGCGAACGUGUUUAAAGACGGUGAACUUUCUCAGCUGCGGCGUUUCACUGGCGGCUGCAUGCACGGCUUCCGCCGUUUGUGAUCUGCCGCGUUUGGCCGCGUUGCGUCUGGUUGCUCGAAAAAAAAGUGCUGGCCAGCACGAAAAUUCAUCGCUGGAACCGAGCACAGUCUGCUUGAAGACUAUCCACGAAAGCGGAUUAACCUUGCAGCCCCUGGGCUUGUGCGCCGCCUCCAAGACGCUGCUCAUAUUUGGAGUCAUCGCUUUGGACUCUAUUGUCUCUGGACAUAGAAGUCAACCGUGAACGUGUCUCCACUGGAAGUAACAUCAAGGGCCAGAAUCCUCACAGGGAAGACGGACAAAAGAGAGAUUAUUGGUCUGCAAGCUGCCCACGCUAAGCCACAAGAUGCUCAACCGUCACCAUAAUGACAACAGGUCCUCUUGAACUACGUGCCUCACUAUGAAAUGUUUGGAAGUUUACCAGAUAGAGAGGUGUGAGCCCUGUUAGGAAAACAGCAGUCUACAGUUCUGUAUCAUACUGAGCGGGAAUGAGAAAUUUGACAUACAAGCUUAGUUGGUUUUAAGGGCGCUUUAUGACAAUCGGAGAAGUAACAUGUUGAGUCCCAACUUGUUUCUUUUGCAGUCAUUAUA